rnacentral:lncRNA from 1 species
GUCAUGAGCAAGCCACCAGCUCUGCUGCUGGGCAAUGCCACCAGGGCAGGCUGGGGCACCCAGGGUGACCUCUCUCCUCGGGAAUGAAGGAAGGGUACCCAGCCUGCCUCCCUGGCGAGGUCAUCACGCUGGUCUCCUGCCUGACCUCUCCCACCUGUUUGCCUUGAGGGGAAGCAGCCAAGCCGCAGGCGGAGCGGGGCCCACAGGCCAGCCUGCCUGCCACACCUGCGUGCCCGCCUCACCUGCCGCCCCUGCCGGCCCUGCAGCAUUCCCUCCCCAGGGAGGAGCUGACCUCUGGCUGCCUGAUGCAGGAGGCCUCUGCCGUGAGUCACAGGGGCGCCUUGGGCAGGGAUGGGCUGGUCCAGGGGCUCGGCUGUGGGGCCUCGGCAUCACCCCCAACUCUAGACGGAUCCUGCCCCCUGGCUGUUUUUGCAUGAAAAAUAAAGCCUUCUCUGAUUCCUUCACCCAGACAGAGCCACUGCUAACGUUUUGGUGUAUUUCCUUCUGGUCUUCUCACCACACGCAGCCGUGCACAGACUGUUUUAUAAAGAUGAAAUCAGACACACAGACUGGUUAGAAGCAUGAGGAACAUUUCCCCAGGAGACCUAAAAUCUCUAACAGCUUUACUGAGAUAUAAUCAAUAUACCAGAAAUUCUCCCGUGUGAAAGUGUGCAAUUCAAUGGUUUCAGCGAAUUUACAGAGUUGUGCGCUCAUUACCGUAAUCUACUUCCAGAACAUUUUCGUUGCCCCAAAAGAACCCUGUACCCAUUAGCAGUCACUCCCCACCUCCCUCCCUCCCCCAGCCCUACGCAACCACCCAUCUUCUGUUUGUCUCUGUAGAUUUGUCUAUUCCGGACAUUCCGUACAAACGGAGUCACCCAAAGGUCCUUCGGAUCCUUGGUAUUUUUUGAAACUCCAUAUUAAACGGGCGCGCAGUGUUCCGAUCUGCGGAUGCACCGUGUUUCUUUGUUGGGUAUUUCGCUUGUCUCGAGCAUUACUGGGCUUUGGGAGGACCACCCAGCCGUGCGCAGCCACUGGAAGAUCUCCUGGUGGGAUUAUAAAAGAUGAGGCGGAAUGCGCAGCGCCCUCCCCUGUCUUGGUACCCAGCACAGGGGCUCAGUGGAAGAGUGUGAUGUCACUCGCUUUUCUCCAGAGGACAGGGAUCCCCUCCUUGGCUCAUGCUGGUACCCCUAGUGCUGUCAGUAUUGGCCCAUAGCGGGGGUCAACGAAUGUUGAAUGACAACACACAGACCUGGGCUGUCGCCUCUCCAGCAGGAGGUGCCCUGCCUACAGGAAGCCCACGCUCGGGAUGGGUCUACCGCUCCUCUUCCAGAACCCGACAGAAUGCUCCCAGGACGGCCUUUCUGACAGGGACUCUUCAUUUGCUGACGUGGGAGAUGAUUACUGGACGGAGACACCCGGAUCAGGUGGAAAAGGUGAGCCAUGUAGCCUGGAAGGAGAAUUUACCGUAUGAUCAAACCCAAGCCAAGACAAAGCUGGGCUGAGCUGCCCGGCAACAGGAGUGGGGUUUUCACGGGUCUUGUCACCUGAUUCUAAAAGGCACUUUCCCACAUAUUCCCAGCCAUGGUGGACCACUGUGGAUGUCCCCAAAAGGCUGGUUCCCAGGGGACUCUGUACCAGCGGGUCUGUGGGAAGUGCAGCUGAGACCUUUGGGGUUCUGUGUCAUCUUCCCUCCUGCAGAUCGGGGUCAGGGGGCAGCUCUGGCCCUGGGCGCAGAUCCCCCUACUCUCUGGCUGGACGCUGCUCAGGGUCCCUGGAAGGUCCCUUCCUUUGCAAAUGCUCCGUGUGUCACUGACCCGCUGUGGAAAGGCAUUUGCCUAGAUGCUGCUGUGGGGGGCGGGGGGAGGGGGGGGCGAGGACAGGUGAAGCCAGGAGCUGCCAGCCCAGAAAUAGAAUCAUAUGAAGUGUGGAGUUGCGUGUCUGGUCUCUCUCACUAGCAGUGACUCAUUCAUGCUGUUGCACACAUCAGCACGUCAUUCCUUUUUAUGGGUGAAUAAUACUCUGCUGUACGGACACACGUUAUCCAUCAUCUGCUGAUGGACACUUGGGUUGUUACCAGGACACACCCUGAGUGCUCUUACCUGCUUGCUCCUGCCAGACCUUGCCAUGGGGACAGAGUCCAUCCCCACCACCCACUUUGGAAAUCCUGUCUAUUCCAGCCCAGGUCAAAAGACUUGCUUCCCCAAAGCUUUCAUGGGUGCCCCUGUCCCUUGCUUGCCCCCACAGAGUGGGUUCAUGCCUCCCUUUGCAUCCUUGUACUGGGCAGUUGAUCUGUGUCAUUAGUGCUCCUGACACCUCCCCUCCACAUGCUGUGUGGCCAGGGUCCAGCCCAGCCAGCACACGUGGUGAGCGGAUGACCCAUGGGCCACCAUAGGGCUGAGUCAGGGUGACCCUACCGGGAAGGCUCUCCUUUUCUGCCAACCUAGGGCGCUGGGGAGAGAGACAAAUCUGGGUGGUGGUGGUGGGUCCAUUCUCUAGAUCAGAGGUGGCCUACUUUUCCCAGAAGGGGGCCAUUUAAAGUCAUAGAUAGUCACAGGCCUGCUUGCAAGACAGUGGCACUUUCAGCAUCCGAUAAAGACAGACCCACUCUGAAUUCCCAAAAAGUCUGAGAGGAAUUUGCAUUCUAUGACAGCAGUAUGGAGAGGGCUGGAAGCGGUGGAAGGAAUCUUUGAUGUACGAAUAACCGCGGGCUGGGGACUGGGCAGAUCUUCAUCCGUACUUGUGGGCACUGGACUCCCGGGGGCUUUCUGAACCUACCCACGCGAGGAUUUCGCUGUAGCCCCUAGAGGUGGAUGCCACAGGCUGGGAUGGCCAUUCAGGACAGGGGAGGGGACCUGCCAUGGCAGCCUCUGCCAGCUCCCCUGGGCCGGGUCUUCAGGGGGAGGAGGACUAAGGGCUCCAAUGUGCCCUCAGGAGACGCCCUGCUCUCAGCUCCAGUACGUGGCUGGCUGGGCCCCCUGUUUCCAGAGUUCACCAUCCAGGGGCUAGGCACACAGGGGCGCCGCCCCCCCACCCCCCCAGUUGCCCCUGCUCCUGGGGAAGUGAAACAGCCCGGGGCCCUGGUGGAACCUCCUGGCUGCACCUGGCAGCCGAUCCCAGGAACGCAGCCUGCAAAGCCCGCUGGGCUGACCUCUGCACACCCUCCCGCGGCGCCGUGCCAGGCCUUACUCAUGCUCUGGCAGUGCCAGGACCUCUCUCGGAGGCGGGGCCAACAGUGGCUUCCCGGCCCUGCGCCAGGCCCAGGCCUGCACCCUAAGCACAGCUCCUGGAUCCAGGAACCGCCUCUCUUUACGGCCGGGAGAGGGCGGCCGGAGAGGGCGAGAGCCCCGCCCAGGGUCACCCACCAAGCCAAGGAACCAGUGGGCAGCAUAAGGAGCAGCCAGAACUGGGCGCCAAGCAGCCUGGGUUCGAACCCCCGCGCUGCCCGGUCGCUAGCAGCAAGACCUCGGGAAAGUUACCCAACCACCGCGAGCCUCAGUUUUCCUGGCCCGGUCCAGGCACUGGGAAGAGUGCACAGGUUGUGACCGCAGGUGGCAGAGUGCCGGUGCCACCACUCCAUGCUUGGCAGCCUUGGGGCAUGCUGGUCUUCUCUGAGCCUCUCAUCUGGACAUGGGCCGCCCCCCCACCAGGGGUUAGUGAGACUUGUUAGGCCCAUGUAACCCCUCAGUGCGUGUUUGGGGGCCUGACAGUGGCUCAGGAAAGGAUCCACCCUCUGGAACCCCCAGCCUGGCCUCAGAGGAGCUCCAUCGGGCAUUACCACCUCCCAGCUGGAUGACCUUGAGCAGCUGCUCAAAAGCAAUUUUUCAAGAACAAAAAGGUCAGCACGUCCAGGACUAAUCAAUUCUCGGAGAGCUCCUGCCGCCACCGCCGAGGGAGCCGGGGACCGGCGGCCCCGCCUUUCCCGCCAGCCCUCUCCCACCAGCGCCAUCACUUUUAUUGCUCCAUGAUGCCUGUCAUUAGCAGGGUGUUUGAGAUGCCCCACAGUGUUCUUACAACAUAAAACUCGGGCGACUUGCAGAAGGGGGGGCCUGACGCGUUGAUGGCCACUGGCGGCUCCGGACAGUAACAGCCCAGCUGAUGGAUCAGCUGCAAAGGGCGGCCAGGACAACAAGCAUCCAGCCCCUUGUUCAAAAGCUCGGCUGCAAAGAGACACGCUGGAAGAGCUGGGGCCCCACAUGCCUGCUCUCAGCCCUGGCCCUCAGUCCUGCAAAUCCCCCAUCAUUGUGACCUUGGGCACCUGCCCACUGUCACCCCUUCCAAACUUUUCCUCUCAAGGCUGCGCUGGUCCCCACUGCAUCCCUGUUGGGGGGCAGAAUACUCCUUCCUGAGCAUCCCCCCACCCCCCAACACAAUGCCAGGCCCCACCCCCCUCCAACACAGUGAGGCCGUUCCAUAGUGCCAUUCCGGAUGGGAAACUGAGACCCAAUGUCACCAAAGUGGGAAAGAGCAGUUGCAGAUCCAAACAGUUAUGUGACCUGCCUGGGAUGAUACGCAUGAGCUGUGCCCAGUGGGGAACCAGGUCUGCCGUUCCAGGCCCCCAGCUGUCCUUGUCCCAUAUCGUCUUGACGUCUGAUGCCUGUGACAACAGCAGCUAAAAUGCAGCACGCCUUCCAGGGCAGACCCCACACUCAGCACUUGGCGUGGACGCCCGCCCCAUCCCCACGACGACCCUAUUAUGAGGCUUCUUACACCCAUUUUACAGAUGGGGAAACCGACACAGGGCACUACAGUACUGUGCUCGAGCCCACAUGGCUGGAUACACGCGGGGGACUAGACCCCAAAUGUCUGCGUUUUGCUCUUUUAAAAAUGGCUUAGGAUAAGAAAUAUCCAAAAUUGGCAAAUCCACAGGUGCAGAAGGCAGAUUGGUGGUCGCCAGGGGCUGGGGGCGGGGAACAGGGAGAAACUGCUUAAUAGGUAUGGGGUUUCCUUCUGGGCAGUGAGAAUGCUCUGGAACUAGAUAGUGGCGGUGGUUGCACAGCAUCGUGAAUGUACUAAAUGCUACUGAAUCGUUUGCUUUGACGUGGCUAACUUUACGUUCUGUGAACUUCACUUCAAUAAAUUCUUUUUUUUAAAAAUGGCUUAGGUUUUUCUGCCACCUGUUUGGCAAGAGGGUGGGUGACCUGCCCGCUCUGGUGUCCCAGCAAAGCAGCCUGCCUCUGCUCUCCUAGGGGAGGUAUGGCCUCAGGAGAGCCACCUCUCCCAGGAAGCCAUCCUAGCUGAACCCACCUGCUCCGAUGGCCCCUCCCACCACCAC